UACGUAGGGGGCAAGCGUUGUCCGGAAUCAUUGGGCGUAAAGAGCGUGUAGGCGGCUCGAUAAGUCUGCUGUGAAAGUCCAGGGCUCAACCCUGGAAGGCCGGUGGAAACUGUCGGGCUAGAGUCCGGAAGAGGCGAGUGGAAUUCCCGGUGUAGCGGUGAAAUGCGCAGAUAUCAGGAGGAACACCGGUGGCGAAGGCGGGUCUCUGGGCCGAUACUGACGCUGAGGAGCGAAAGCGUGGGGAGCAAACAGG
rnacentral:rRNA from 1 species